CACAGUCUCCUUCUUCUCUAAAGUUUGAAACGGUACCCCUCUCUCUCGCCAUUCUCUGUCGACUCCGGUGAGCGGCCGCCAUGAAUCGCAGCCUCCCUCUGGCGCGACGAGGUCGGCCCCUGUUCUUCCUCCUCCUCUCCUUCCCUUUUGUGCCCUAUUUUUUCCCCAAGAACAAAAUCCUCAAUUUCUAGGGUUUUCAGACUCUCUUUCCUCUCUGAAUUUCGCCCCUCCGGCGAAUCCCGCCACUACCACCGCCGCCUCGCACAGCUGCUCCCUGCCUCAGGUAACACCUUUUUCUCUCUCUCUCUCUCUCUCUCAAGAUCUAUUUCUCUCUCCUUCUCUCAGUUCUCCAUCUCGAUCUCCAUCUUUCCUGUUCGCGGCGGCCGCGGCGGCGCAUGCAGCGCUGACGGUCGUCGCCGCCUCUGCUCUCCUCUCUCUCCCCUCAUUCUCUUUAAUUUCAGAUUUGGUUUUCACUAAUUUUAUUUUUAAUUUUUAGUUUUACUAUUUUUUAUUGUUAAAUGUUGUGAAAAAUGCUUAGCUUUUUAACUCAAAUGAUGUUUUGAUGAGCUAUUAUCUUCUGAACCAUCACCACUCAUCUAUUGUUUAAUUUAAUCUCUAAAUUUCGGAAAAAUUUAUCGUUGCUGAUGCCAUGUUGGGAAUUGAUGUGAAUAAUUUCAUAUGGUGUUCUACUACUUCUUCUGUUUGUGUGUGUUUUUUGCUAUCAAGAUUCAGUUUUCUUCAGCAAGUGUUCAGACUAUUCUCAUCUUGCAGGGAGAGCUUGCACUCGCAUUUGGUGAAUUGUUGAGGAAACUCUGGUCUUCUGGUCGAACUCCAGUUGCACCUCGUGUAUAAUAGGGGAAACUUGCCCGUUUUGGUCCCCAGUUUAGUGGUUAUAAUCAGCAUGAUUCGCAGGUUAGUUUCAAUCUAAAUGUUAGAUUAAGAUAUAUUGUCAUUCAUUUAAAUAUAAGAAGAAAUAUAGAUACUAUCUAUUCUUGUGUUAGUUUAUCAGGAACAUGAAUUUCAUCAAUCAAUUAUCUGAUACUAGAAUUUGAUUAAAAGCUAAGAGCAGUCCCUUAGAGUAUGUGAUGACAUUAUUAAUAUUCUUUUUAUGCCUGACAAACUAUCGUAAACUUUCCUUCUUGACAUUAUCAUAUCCCUCCAACCGGAGUUCUUCUAACGGAGCUUUCCAACCAUCAUUGGUGCUAGUUUUGUUCUACUAUCGUAUUUGUAAUUUUGUAUUUGUAUUCGCUUUGGAAAAUAAAUACGCCUUGGUAGAGAUGGUAAGUGGAUGUCUGAGAUGGUAAAGAAAUGUACAUGCUUCGUAUAUUCUUGUUUUUGAAGCAGGUGACUAUUGAUGUAUACAUUGUAAAUUUACUGCAGUGCAGGUAUUGUUAAUAUUGUUUUUGAAGAUAGGCCUUUGACUUAUCCAGAUAGUACUUGUAUUAAUACAGUUAACUAAUUGGCAGAUGCUCUUGUGUAUUAACAUAAUCUCUCUUUCAUAGUUAAAUAUGCUUAUUUAGCUUCAUGUUUUCAGCCCAUGCAUCAAAGAAAGGAUAGUUGGCAUCAGGCUGAAGUUUGUAAGUUGGUUGAAUGUAUAAAAGGAGACAUAUGUGAUAUAAUAGGCUCACAUUGGUUACACGUUUUCCCUGUGUAGAUCUCCGGGACGACAGGGGUUAUCUUGCUGAUCAUAUAGGAGGAUCUAACAUCAUCACCACAGCCCAAGUGUGUACAUCUUUCUUUUUUGUAUUGUUGGAUUUGGUAUUUGAUUGUGUUGACAAAGGCGGGCUCAACUUGUGUUGGGCGAGGAGCUGAGGAAACAGAUUGGUGCAGCAGCUUACAUAGAAUGCAGCUCCAAGACUCAACAGAAUGUGAAAGGUGUUUUUGAUACUGCAAUCAAGGUUGUGCUUCAACCUCCACGGAGAAAGGAAGUGGCGUCGCAGAAGAAGCGAAACACUACUGGCUGCUCAAUUGUGUAUGCCUCUGGGACUACUUCAAUAAGAAGAAGCAAACUAUAUUAAUUCCAUGGAGAAGAUGGUGCUAUUCUUGUCCCUGGUGGUGUAGUUAGUAUAAAAUUGGGCGAUAUGAAAAACCUAGUGCUUAUAUGGUGGGAGAAUUGUUAGACAUAAAUGUAUGUGAUAUUUAUGAAUAUUUGGAUGACAAUGUAUGAAUAUUUUGGAUGUUAUACAA